rnacentral:rRNA from 1 species
AUUGAACGCUGGCGGCAGGCCUAACACAUGCAAGUCGAGCGGGGUUUUCGGACCUAGCGGCGGACGGGUGAGUAAUGCGUAGGAAGCUGCCCGAUAGAAGGGGAUACCAGUUGGAAACGACUGUUAAUACCGCAUAAUGUCUACGGACCAAAGUGUGGGACCUUCGGGCCACAUGCUAUCGGAUGCGCCGACGUGGGAUUAGCUAGUUGGUGAGGUAAUGGCUCACCAAGGCGACGAUCUCUAGCUGGUUUGAGAGGAUGAUCAGCCACACUGGAACUGAGACACGGUCCAGACUCCUACGGGAGGCAGCAGUGGGGAAUAUUGGACAAUGGGCGCAAGCCAGAUCCAGCCAUGCCGCGUGUGUGAAGAAGGCCUUCGGGUUGUAAAGCACUUUCAGCGAGGAGGAAGGGGUGUGUGUUAAUAGUACACACCUUUGACGUUACUCGCAGAAGAAGCACCGGCUAACUCUGUGCCAGCCGCCGCAGUAAAAC